GACUCCAUGAAGUCGGAAUCGCUAGUAAUCGUGGAUCAGAAUGCCACGGUGAAUACGUUCCCGGGCCUUGUACACACCGCCCGUCACACCAUGGGAGUGGGUUGCAAAAGAAGUAGGUAGCUUAACCUUCGGGAGGGCGCUUACCACUUUGUGAUUCAUGACUGGGGUGAAGUCGUAACAAGGUAACCGUAGGGGAACCUGCGGUUGGAUCACCUCCUUACCUUAAAGAAGC
rnacentral:rRNA from 1 species